rnacentral:rRNA from 1 species
AGAGUUUGAUCAUGGCUCAGAAUGAACGCUGGCGGCGUGCCUAACACAUGCAAGUCGAACGAGAAAUCCCGACUUCGGUUGGGAGAGUAAAGUGGCGCACGGGUGAGUAACGCGUGGGUAACCUGCCCUUGAAUCUGGGAUAACUUCGCGAAAGCGUUGCUAAUACCGGAUACCGUCCCGGAAACCCUGGUUUCAGUGAUGAAAGGUGACCUCUUCAUGAAAGUUGCCGUUCGGGGAGGGGCUCGCGUACCAUUAGCUUGUUGGUAGGGUAAUGGCCUACCAAGGCUACGAUGGUUAGCUGGUCUGAGAGGAUGAUCAGCCACACUGGAACUGAAACACGGUCCAGACUCCUACGGGAGGCAGCAGUGAGGAAUUUUGCGCAAUGGGGGAAACCCUGACGCAGCAACGCCGCGUGAGUGAAGAAGGCUUUCGGGUCGUAAAGCUCUGUCAAGUGGGAAAAAAGUCAUACGGUGAACAGCCGUGUGAUCUGAUGGUACCACUAGAGGAAGCACCGGCUAACU